AAACGCAAAUACGUAAGUAACAAAACAACACCGACAACAAGAAUUAUGUUUCUUGAUUUUUUUAUAGUUAAACUUACGGCACCACACGGUCUCAAAACAGGCAAAGACACAAUAACCCGUGAGGUGCUGGUGAAAACCAGGAACCUAAAUAGACAUCAUGAUAACUAACUCAAAACAGGUGUGUUUAGGGCGCUGCUGCCAUCUGCUCCAGCCGGCGGUUUGAACACCGGUGAGGUACGUGUAGCGCUAGAGAAGGAGAGAGCACACAGCGCCACACGGAGCAGGCAUCACCUUAGAAAGAUGAGCAUACCGGACACACCUGCAAGCUCCCGCAAUGCAGGCAUGCCCACAAGGUGUGAGGGGUUGGUCAACUGCAAUGGACACAUCCACGUGUGUCCUUACAACUGUGCAGGGAGGGGGUCUGUUGAAACUGUCAGUGUGAGGACAUUAUCAGGGGUGAUCCUGAAAUAAUGGUCAACAAGACACCCUCUGAGGAGACACCAAGUUAUGUAAGAAGCAUGAUGUUGAAUUGUAUUUGGACUUCAUUCUACCUGCGACCUGUGACCUGGGUAACUGUCAGUUUGAUGCCAUUCUGGGCCAGAGACAUCAUAUCUGUAACAUUUUGACUUGAUGCAGUCUGUACAGCACCACUAGCCAGGAUAACAGGAGAACAAUAUGUAAUAAAUGGUCUUGCAUUUAUAAAAGCUUGUUUUUUUCAACUUUUGUUAAGUGG